CCAGCCACUGCUGUAUCAGUCUGUAAGUCAUUCUAAUAACCCCCUUCUUAUAUGGAGAUUCAUCAUGUAAGUUGUUACUCCGGAGAACCCUAAUACACUGGUAUCUGAAAUUUGGUUUCCUCCAUCCCUUCUGCUAGUUCCCUCUCAGCCUACAGGUCUUAAAGGUAUAAUGAAGCUUCUAUUGAUUUCCCAUCUGAAUCUAGUUCCCCUGUUCCCUUUUCGCAAGAGGACCAUGUCUACACAGGAGGCAAGCAAUAAAUCCAGGAGGAGUGAAGCCCUUCCAGGUGUGCUCCAAGAGCAGCAGCAGGUGGUGACACUGAAGAUUACUGGAAGCUGGCCGUGUUCCCACACCGUGAACUUAAGCCAUUGCUCUAUCACCUCAGGACAUAACCUCACGACAGAUGGGUAUUACUAGUGCCCCGUAAGCAAAACACAGACAGGACUAAAGUGUAAACACAGAGCUGUACGAAGGAACCCGAAUAACGCAAACAGGCGGAGUGUCAGGUAUGAGGACCACUUCCUGCCAUGAUGCUAGAAUCCAACACCAACAGUAGCAUAUCAGGGGAUUAAUAUUUGCACUAAAAGCUUAACUGGGUGUUGGUCAGUCUUUAUGACUGCCUUGAUUUCUUUGUCUCCAUUCCAGAAAAGAGAGUGGGGCUUAAAAGGCUGGAGAGAUGACCCACAGUUAAGCACUUGCUCCUCUUCCAGGGGACCAGAGGGCCAACACCCAUCUCAGGUGGCUCAUGAUGGUCAGGGGAUCCAGGGCCUCUGGCUUCUAGGAGCAUACGCAUCAUAUGCGCUACCCCCAUAUACUCACCUGUGUGCGCGCGCACACACACACACACGCAUAAUAAAAUCGUUUUAAAAAAGUAACACUAGACCAGGUUUAUUCUAUCUCAAGUCUUUCACCAAACCCUACUAACACAAAGGCUAUUGUGUGCACCAAAAGACACGAGUAGGAGCUAAAACUU
rnacentral:lncRNA from 1 species